CAGUCGCCACGGUAAUACGGAGGGGGCUAGCGUUGUUCGGAAUUACUGGGCGUAAAGCGCACGUAGGCGGCUUUGUAAGUCAGAGGUGAAAGCCCGGGGCUCAACCCCGGAAUUGCCUUUGAGACUGCAUCGCUUGAAUCCAGGAGAGGUGAGUGGAAUUCCGAGUGUAGAGGUGAAAUUCGUAGAUAUUCGGAAGAACACCAGUGGCGAAGGCGGCUCACUGGACUGGUAUUGACGCUGAGGUGCGAAAGCGUGGGGAGCAAACAGGAUUAGAUACCCCUGUAGUCCCUGUCUCUUAUAC
rnacentral:rRNA from 1 species